UUCUACAUGAAACCCGAAUGGGAGAGUCUGAAUCAGUCUAAUGUGCGCUGCAUGCACACGGCCGUCAAACUCAAUGAAGUGGUGGUCAAUAAGUCUCAAGGAGCUCAUCUGGUGCUCCUCAACAUGCCUGGACCACCCAAGAGCAGAGGCGGCGACGAAAACUGUAUCCUUACACAAACUGCACUCACAAAACUCACAUUUACAUCUCUAAAUCUGAGAGGAUGAGCCACAUUUGAAUAAGAGGUUAUUACCGUUAACUAAAACUGUUAAGCAAUAAAUUCAAAUAUUCAAUAUUUAAUAAAACCUAAACAAAAAUUUAGCAAUUAACUGAAAUAAGUUUAA